AUUUCUUUUCCCUUAAACCGCCGAUCCCGAACCCGAGCUCCCCCGAUCUCCCCUCUUCCUCUCUCUCUGUUCACUUCCGCGGACAAGCGACGGCGACGGGAGCAAGGGUCCAGCUCCGGCGAUCGUCGAUCUCGACCCAGGGGAGCAGUCGCCAGCACAGAUCCGGACGUGGGUGAUUUUCCUCCAGCCCUAGGUGAGAGCGCUGAUCUUCUCUCGGCGUCGUCGGCGCAGAUCGGAGCUCGGAGCAUAAGGGUUCCGAUCCUCUCCUCCUCUGGUUUCCUUCGAUCUCCGACGUCUCUUCUAAUCGACUGCCCACGCCCCUGGAUCGAUCUAGAUCCGCUCGAUCCCCGGCAUAGGUCCAUCGCCGGUGCUUUUCCAUUUGGAUCGUUGCUUCGUGAGAGCAGAUCGCUGAUCAAGAAGGGAGGUCUUAGCCCUAGCCUCGACCUUUCCUCUUCGACGCCGGCUUGGAUCUACUGUCUUGUGUUCUAGCUUCCAUUUCGCACACGUAGGUUGUGCUGUUCUGGUGGUGGACAGCAGCUCGAUCCGGGCAGAGAGGAGGCUCUGUUCCUUUUGAUUGAGUGCUGUGGAUUAGUAUGCAUGGUUGUGAGCUAGAGGUACUAUCUUGUGGAUGUGAUCUUAGGUUCCAACAGCAGCUACCCUAACCGGCAGCUACACCUUUGGUUGUGAUCUAUUGGUGAUCACCUUGGAUUCGAGGAGUCUGAUUUGAGACAGGCGUCUCGACGUUGACUUCGGAUUUGGAUUGUACCUUCUA